rnacentral:hammerhead_ribozyme from 1 species
AUCCAGUUGAUGAGUCCCAAAUAGGACGAAAAACGCGCCCUGGAU